rnacentral:rRNA from 1 species
AGGAAUAUUGGUCAAUGGACGAGAGUCUGAACCAGCCAAGUAGCGUGAAGGAUGACUGCCCUAUGGGUUGUAAACUUCUUUUAUAUGGGAAUAAAGUGGUCCACGUGUGGAUUUUUGUAUGUACCAUAUGAAUAAGGAUCGGCUAACUCCGUGCCAGCAGCCGCGGUAAUACGGAGGAUCCGAGCGUUAUCCGGAUUUAUUGGGUUUAAAGGGAGCGUAGGUGGACAGUUAAGUCAGUUGUGAAAGUUUGCGGCUCAACCGUAAAAUUGCAGUUGAUACUGGCUGUCUUGAGUACAGUAGAGGUGGGCGGAAUUCGUGGUGUAGCGGUGAAAUGCUUAGAUAUCACGAAGAACUCCGAUUGCGAAGGCAGCCUGCUAAGCUGCAACUGACAUUGAGGCUCGAAAGUGUGGGUAUCAAACAGGAUUAGAUACCCUGGUAGUCCACACGGUAAACGAUGAAUACUCGCUGUUUGCGAUAUACUGCAAGCGGCCAAGCGAAAGCGUUAAGUAUUCCACCUGGGGAGUACGCCGGCAACGGUGAAACUCAAAGGAAUUGACGGGGGCCCGCACAAGCGGAGGAACAUGUGGUUUAAUUCGAUGAUACGCGAGGAACCUUACCCGGGCUUAAAUUGCAGAUGAAUUACGGUGAAAGCCGUAAGCCGCAAGGCAUCUGUGAAGGUGCUGCAUGGUUGUCGUCAGCUCGUGCCGUGAGGUGUCGGCUUAAGUGCCAUAACGAGCGCAACCCUUGUUGUCAGUUACUAACAGGUUCCGCUGAGGACUCUGACAAGACUGCCAUCGUAAGAUGUGAGGAAGGUGGGGAUGACGUCAAAUCAGCACGGCCCUUACGUCCGGGGCUACACACGUGUUACAAUGGGGGGUACAGAGGGCCGCUACCACGCGAGUGGAUGCCAAUCCCCAAAACCUCUCUCAGUUCGGACUGGAGUCUGCAACCCGACUCCACGAAGCUGGAUUCGCUAGUAAUCGCGCAUCAGCCACGGCGCGGUGAAUACGUUCCCG